CGGCGGACCGACACGGCUGAAGCCCUUCGCCGUGACGCACGGCUUCCCCACUACUCCUUGCAACAACCCACUACUCCUUGCAACAAAUGCUCAUAAAAUCGCUCGAGCUAUCCAACAUUCAUCGACCAGAAACAACUCGAUUCAACUAAACCGUCGCCGCCUCCAUGUUAAAAGCCUACACGCCCUUGCCAUCGACAGCAAGCGCGGCCUCCUGCUUGCGCCUCCACUCUGGGAGCUGGCCGCUCCCAAUUUACUUCUCCCCGAAGACAUGUCUCUUAAUAUGAUAGGUUCAACUCGAAAUUUUGCUCACACCCACCCGAUUUGAUUUGAUUUUGUUGGAUUGUAGCUGCCGCUUGGUCAAAUCCGUCCGAAUUGAUUGUAUAAUGCGUGGCUGAGACCCUCCCCUGAUCGGAAUCUCAACAGCACCUUGAGCCGCCCCUUCUCUUCUCCAAACAUCUCUCUCCACCCUAAGAUGGGAUGGAUCUGGUGACGCCAUCUUCACUUCCGCUGUAUAAUUGAGGUUAGUCCAGAACUCCCGAUUCCCCCAAUCCCAGUACUCCUCAGUUGUAUUUCUGCUUAACAACCAGUAUGUUCUACAGCUGGGCUAUUAUUAUUUUCCCAUGUCUCUCGGGAGUAUUUUCAUGUACCUUUGCACUUCCUUUUGAUGGAAACUCAGAAGUUUAAAAUGCACAAAAAGGUCUGCCAAACUAUACAUACAGAAAGGAAUCUAAGACUCGGGUAUGUUGCAGGAAACUGUUUCCUCUGUUUUCUGCAAUCGAGCUUUGCAUAUUUCUCUGCAAUUGAUGUUUAUGGUCUAAUUUUAGUCUUCCUGCGUUUGAACUUUGAUGUAUAGACAUCUUUGGGCACAUUCAGAAAUUGAUGUUUUUGUUGCAGGUUAUACAGUUAUGGGGUUUUAUGUUAUGCAAGAGACAUGUCAGUACACCAUAAGGUCUUAUACAUUUGUACAGGAUUACAGUGGUACCAUAUUCUAUCAUUCUAUGUGUUGUACCUGGUAUUUCUCUGCAGCAAGUCGGCCCAUUCAGAUUCAACAAGAAUGAAAUAUACGCUGACAUCGAAUCAUCUAGCACCGUCAAUUUAUCUGAUGUUAGACUGUUUAUUCUAUGUACAUUUUCACCAAAAUCUUGACAUUUCUGAUUCCCAAGUACCAGGCUAGGUAAUUCUAAAUUAAUGACAGUAUUAUAUUCUUAAUUUUCAUUAAUAUUAAUAUUUCAGUUGCUGUCAAUAAAUCAAUUUGCUUUGUAGCUGUUUAUGCACAGUAUACGGAAGGUGUGAUAUUUCUCAACAUCGCACAAUCUCCAUCCAAAAAAGUCUUACAUCAUGUAAGGGAAGUAGUCUCUUAUGCAAUUCUGUAGAUUUAGAUGAUGAUGUGGCAAGAGAUAUAUACAUGUUGAUGAUCUGACUUCAAACUUGAUCUUGAGUGUAGAAGUGACAUUUGAUAAGUAAUAUUAAGUUCCAAAGAACAGAUCAAAUGGACAAUGUAACCUGGUGUAGUUUUCCAUCACCAAUUUAUAUUUGAAUUUAUCAUAUUAUUUAAGUCUGGCAUAUUCUUUUGUUUCUAUAUGAAGAAUUACUAGGCAUGAACUUUUUCGUACAAAAAGUACAUUUGUCCCUAAACCUUUGAUAUGAAUUCCACUUAAAGUACUAAUAACUUUUGAUUGAUCUCUUUGAUUUUGCAUUCUACGUACCUAGCUCUAAUAAUCAAUUUGGCUCUUGAGUAACAAUUUGUCAUCUUUACCACUUCUGUGCGAGAUUAUAUUCUUAACAUGCUAUUUUGCUUCAUGUGCAGUUUCUCGAGCUGAUAUGUCAUGUGUGUAGUUUCCUCAUGGUGUUAGCAGCAAAAUCAAUUGUUUGUCAAACUUCCACAUACAAAUUCAUAAUGUUUGCAGAUUCAUAUGUGAUGUAGUUGGAGCUCACCGGGCGAUGGACCUUCUCCCGUGUAAGCUAUUCAUAGUUAAUAUAAUAGGAAAGUAUUUUGUAAGCUCCGUAGAAACGUUAAUACAAGGAUAAGUUCAUUAGCUUUCGAAGUGUAACAGGUGUGUGUUAUUCUUA